UUGCAGAAUUCGUCAAUCUAGACAUUCAGGUCUUUCUAUUUGACAUUCUUUUAGCCUCCCUUGCUCAAAUAUUUCCAUUCUGAUUUCCUUGCUCAAGUGACUUCCUGUUCUCACAUCUGCAUUUGGUUGCAGUUACACUUUACAUUAAUAUAAAGUGUGACUGGCCCAGUCAGAGAAGACUCCGCUGAGAUGCUCUAUUGCCACAAAUGAGCUUCCUUUUGGUUUUUGCUCUCUUGCCCUUAUCAGCUGCUGAUAUUGUUCAGCUGCCAGAUGUGAUCAUUAUGGAAGGGGGUGCAACCACACUGUCAUGUUCUCAACUUAAGACCAGCCAUACAUAUAUGUCCUGGUACAAGCAAGAGAAGAGGAGGGAAGCCCAUUCACAGUUCCAGCUGGUGGCUUUUACAUCUAAAGGUUCUCCAGGAGAAUCUGCCAUUGAACAACCCUUCAAAAACCGCUUCAAGACCUCAGGGUUGAAGUCAAAUGCCUUGCCUCUAUCUCUGGAGAAUGCCCAGCUGGAAGACACAGGCACCUACUACUGUGCUUCACAAGAGUACACAGCCGAGCAAAUGCUGAGGAAGCCAAGCCAAAACCUCUUCACAGGAAACUACCCUGUGGCAGAUCCUUCCCAAUAACUAACACAGGGCGGCAGCCAUGAGCUAUUCGUUAUAUUAUAGAAACAGUACUCAUUAAGAUGAGCUAGAGCAGGCUUAUGAUUGCACUGGUGGGUCAGAACUGUAUUGUAUUGUCUAGAGUAGGGUCUGCUCAGUGGUGAUACCCAAUUAUGCAUGCCUCCUUUUAAUUAAUGGCUGCAGUCAUUCUGCAGCCAGGCAUUUUCAGAUUUAUAAACAUUUGGAGAAAGACUGCCAUUCUAACUUGUAUUUCUACUUUUUAUGCUUAAUUUUCUAUUUAUUAAUUUAAUUUAAUUUUGUCUUUAUUUCAGAUAAACAUUCAAAGGAAGAUAGAUAGAUAGAUAGAUAGAUAGAUAGAUAGAUAGAUAGAUAGAUAGAUAUAAAUGUUUGCAUGUGAAAUGGGAGUUCAUCUGGCUGCUCAUCCUUAGUCCCUUCCUCUGAUUCUGAGCCCAUCAUGACAGCCGAUGGCACCCAAUUAUAACUUUUGACUCCAAACCAGCCAAGUGAGACUGUCAAGAUUCUCUCUAACUGAAUGCUAACGAGACUGAAUGUGGGUGUUUGGACUGUCUGGAUCUGAAAUAUGAAAAUGACCUUGGAUGGGUUUGUAUUUCCCCAUUCAAGAAUGGUGUGCAAUUUGAGGGUGUUGUUGGACUUACACCUCUUGCUCAAUGAGCAGUUGUAACUUUGGCCAGGAAGGCUUUUGUCUACUUCAAAAACUUUACUAAAAACUGCAGGCACCACUUCCAAAAAUCACUUCCAAAACCACAUUCAAAAAUAUUGGUAAGAAAACUAUAAAACCUUGCCCAAGGAAUUGUCAGGAAUCAAGACUGUCAUAUAUAUUAGCAGCUUCAUGGACAUAUUAGGCUGUUUGAGGGAUUUUUUUUUUUAAAAAAUGCAGUAAACAAAUGUUUGACUGACAUUUAUUAUAUCUUUAUGACACCACUUUCCUUCCCAAGAGAUACUGUUUUGAACCACUUCCUUUGAGUGUUUUCUUUUGGUUUUCCUUUUCCUUGCACUUGCACCUUCCUGUUCUCAUAUCUGCACUUUGUGGCACUCUGUCAGCCCACCAAGAUAGACCAGACUAAGAAACAACAACAUAUAAGUCAGGGCUACUUUUGGAACAGCUAUAGUAGCAGGGUCAAGUUAUUUUCUUGGUCUGGGAUCAAGCUCCACUAAUCUGACUCUUGCUUUGCAAGCAGCUCUUCCUGCUGUUCUUCAAGGUCAUUCCAUAUUCCCUCUACAUACUGGACCUUUGAGGGGUAUCUCUCCUUAGUUUUGCUCAAUAAACUCAACUGAAUAUGAUCACAGAUGACCCUAUCUUGGUUAAAGAAUCUGAAAAAGACUCACUACCACUGCUGAGGGUGUUGCCCCAGCCAGACACUAAACAUUCUACUCCAGUGGAUGGACAGCUGUUUGGUAGACAGAUUGCUGAAACACGGAAAUUGAGACUGGCUGGUUUGGAUAGUUUGAUGAGCAUGAUGUCAUUGUCCAAAGUUCAGGGGUUGUAUUUGGGAUGACGAAUGAUUUUGACUGAAUCAAUGUACUGCUUGGAACUACCAUUUUUGGUCAAACUGUGUUCCCCAAGUCUCACUUGGAUUCGGCUGAAUCAAAAGAAACAGAGAUUUCAAUCAUGCAUAUUUUAUAAUGUGCUGUCAGACAAAAGCCAGGCCCAUUAAUUCUGCAGCUCAUAAGAGCAUCUAUUGCCCAGAGUGGAUGUAUCCUGAAAAAAAUGGGCACAGUUGCAUGUUGAUUUCCAGUACUCAGUAGGCAUUGAAAACUUCUACACUCAGUUGUGCACCUUCAUAUUGAAACAUGUGUGCCUACUCUAUUAAAUUUACUAAUUUCCACUCUUCUAGGAUGAGAUGUAGUGGGGUGCAUGUUUGUGCUAUGUAGUACUUCUGAUCCAAAGGCAAAGCCUGCUUUGGAGUAUGGGAAGGUAUGCAUACGGCAUAUCUCCAUUUCCUUAGAGAUACUGAUUUUUCUGCCCCAAGAUUUACAAUUAGGUGAUCUG